UACGUAGGGUGCAAGCGUUGGCCGGAAUUAUUGGGCGUAAAGAGCUCGUAGGCGGUCUGUUGCGUCGACGGUGAAAACCCUCAGCUCAACUGGGGGCCUGCCGUCGAUACGGGCAGACUUGAGUGCGGUAGGGGAGACCGGAAUUCCUGGUGUAGCGGUGAAAUGCGCAGAUAUCAGGAGGAACACCGGUGGCGAAGGCGGGUCUCUGGGCCGUCACUGACGCUGAGGAGCGAAAGCGUGGGGAGCGAACAGG
rnacentral:rRNA from 1 species